UAGUCCACGCCCUAAACGAUGAAUACUCGAUGUUGGCGAUAUACGGUCAGCGUCUAAGCGAAAGCGUUAAGUAUUCCACCUGGGGAGUACGCCCGCAAGGGUGAAACUCAAAGGAAUUGACGGGGGCCCGCACAAGCGGAGGAGCAUGUGGUUUAAUUCGAUGAUACGCGAGGAACCUUACCCGGGCUUGAAAGUUAGUGAAUGAUUCAGAGACGAAUCAGUCCUUCGGGACACGAAACU
rnacentral:rRNA from 1 species